UAUCCUCACACCCAAACAUAUCCUCACGCUCGAAACUGCCCACAAAACCUAAUAUCGCGACCACUUCCUCACGCUAACUCCUGUCGUCGGAACCUCCCCAUCGCAUCCCUAAACUCCUCUCCGCCAACAUCUUCGCCCAUCCUCUCUCCAUCGAAGCCCUCUCCGGCCUAGUCGAGUGUCGCCGUCACCUUCUUCCGUUGGGUGUGAUCCUGCUACCUCAACGACCAGCACCCACCCUACGCGUGGAACCUUGUGGUCGACCUCCUCGGCAAGAACUUUUCGACACCAAGUGAAACUCUGUCCACUCCAUGCAAUCCGAGGGCCUUCUCUCCAUGCCUCCUACAAUGGUGAUCUUGAUUUUUAGUACUGCCACAUCUCCAAAGGUGCAUGAUCCUUUUCCAUAGCAGAUAAUGAGUGUAGAUCGCACGACAGAAGAACUUAAGACCUCUUGUUAUCUAAAAUUUCUUCAAAGAUUGUUUGUGAUCCAAUUGAAGCAAGGAAGUUUUCUGAUCCAAUCUUUGCUUGUGUAGGAGAUUAUGGUCUUAGCGAUGCUGGUUUUCUCUGGAAUUGUUCUGCUGCCCGUUCUUCUAGUGGUUGCAACUGAACCUGCACCAUCUUCCACGGAUAGCAAUAGUGAAGGAAGCUUCAAGAACCUUGACAAAUUGGCCAUGGGGCAUGUCAAUCUGAGGUUGAAACAUUGCUUUUAGCCACAUUAAUACACGAGGUGAUGCAUGCUUUAGAUUUUGACCCUCAUGCCUUUGCACAUUUCCAUGAUGAGUGAAAGAGAUGAAGGCGUAGUCAGGUCACUAUGCAAGUUAUGGAUGAGAAGUUUGGUUGUGCAGUUGCACGUAUUGUCCUGCCCCGACUAGUUAUGCAUACUAGAUUCUAUUAUGGGUUAGCAUUCCCCAAGGGCCUAAAUUCAACACCAGGAAGACCAAGAGUAGCUCCCAGCAGUCCUGUAAUUUUCGAAGUCACUUUGGAGUAUGUUCCAGGCCUAGACAAUGAGUAAACCUUGUGCUUCCAGUUCCAUCCACUUGUUCAGAGGAGUUAAAGAAAUGAGCUUGGAGAGCUUAAAUUUUUUUAAUCUAUCUUUGUUGUACAUAUCUGAGGCGUUUUAGGUCAGAGGAAGCAACACCAGGUUGCUCCGGCCACUAUUUUCUGAUAGCAAGUACAUCUGGCAGUGACUCAACAAUCGGGCAUUCAGGUUUGGGUGAGUAUUUGGAUUGAGUCCUUGGGUUGAAUACUUUGAUGCGGAUGUGAUGAUUUUCGAUUUAGGGCUUUUGGAAUUUGCUGUGUCAAUACUGCUUCAGCUGAGGACAUCAAGGAAGAGGUUGCUAAGGUGAGUUUUCAUGAUAAGCUUUAAUCCGAGCUAUGAAGGAAGUGUGGAUUAAUUAAGGAAAUUAUAAUGCUGGGUUGAACCUAAUUCAAUCAAGAAAUUGAUAUUAGAUGGAUAUGAUAGUUAGGGUUAGGAAAUCUAACCCUAAUUGAACAUGGAGUUAUAUUUAAUUAGGGUUAAAAUGUUGGAUUUAAUAUAAGCUUCGGGUUAGAUCCGAUUUAUUUAAUUAACCGAGAUCAACAGGGUAUCCUGGUUAAUAGGAAUUUUGACUAAGCUAUUGGAUAUCUACGAGCAUGGCUUAAUUAUAUGUAUGUUA